rnacentral:lncRNA from 1 species
AUCCGAUUAUUUUUUUUGCUCGUCUUGAUUAAUUUAUUGAUUGCAUAUGAACAAGCUUGGAUCGUCGACGUCGACUUGUCAAUUUUCAUUACCUAUAUAUUCUUGUUUUUCGUAAUUUUACUUGGGGAUUUGGAUUUCUGGGGUCUUUUUGCCCACUCGCUGUGUUUGUCACUCUGACAUUAACAUAGAUGGACGCGGAUUUCUUGGUUAGAUUUAUAAUCACGUUUCAGAAAGAUUGGCUUGGAAGAUUUUACACAUUUAAUUUCAUAAAAGUACUGUCUUUCUGUGUUGAAAGGCAACGGCUGGGAGCGAUCACGACAACUUUUAUGAGGGUUUCUUGCGCUUCCUCCGUAUUUUAACUUUAAUUGCAGGGGCGAUUUCAAGGGAAAACCGAGGGGUUGAGUUUUUGGAGUUCUUGCCUUUCCUGUUGUAGGUUGGUGAAUUGUUAUUGGUUCGUCAUCUGUAUUUGAUGAUCAAUUAUCUUCGUAGAAUUUUAUUCUUUUUUACAGAUAUCUAG